UCGCCUCGCUCCAGCCGCCGGGCCACCGGGGGCGCGCUGUCCCCGCCGCGCCGGAAGUGCGUCACGGUGCGCGCGGAGCACACCGGGAGAUGUGGUUCCUCCCCCGUGGCUCUGCCGAGCCCGCCGCCGCGCAGGAAGUCGGGCUGUGGCCACGUGGGACGUUUGAGUUUAGUGAUCCGUUCUGAGAUGGACUCUGAGUGAAAACUACACAGCAGGUCUCCGAGAAUCUGCAGGGAAAAGAAAUGAAAACUACUCCAUGUUGUCUUUAUAUUGAUUACAUCUUGAAAUAAUAGUCUAGGUGUUUCAGGUUAUGAAAGGUAUGUUGAAAUUGAUUUCUCCUGUUUCUCUGUACUUCUUAAAGAGGUGCCUGCCCACAAUUUUAA